GGCAGAAUAAAUUCUCUGUAUUUCUUGUAUAUUGCAGUACACAGGAAAUUUACAUCAGUUUAUAUACUUGCAAAGCUUCCUAAGUCUCAAGAGUACAAAAGGAAACAAAUCAACUUAUUCUUAAUUCCAUGGAAUUACGACAGAAAUAGAAUAUAUGGAAAUAAUUUAGAAUCUUCAAAUAUUAAACUAAAUUUUAACACUCCCCCUCAAGUUGGAGCAUGAAUGUCAAGAAUGUGCAACUUGCGUAUUAAGUUUUUGAAGAUAUUUCCGCCUAAAGCUUUGGUGGAAACAUCAGCCAACUGAAGAGAUGAUGGAACAAAUUUUGUAAUAAUCUGCCCUGCUUGGAUUUUUUCUCUCACAACAUGACAAUCAAGCUCAAUAUGCUUAGUACGUUCAUGAUACACCGGAUUUACUGCAAUAUGAAGGGCAGCUUGAUUGUCACAGAAUAAUAUGACAGGUCCAAUGAAACUUGCAAGUCAUUGAACAAAAAUCUUAGCCAGGUGAGUUCACAAGUUGCCGCAGCCAUUGACCUAUACUCUGCUUCGGAGGAUGAUCUAGACACUGUCUUUUGCUUCUUUGUCUUCCAAGAAAUUAAAGAGUUACCAAGGAACACGUCAUAUCCCGUAGUUGAUCUCCUUGUCAUGGGGCAGUUAGCCCAAUUAGCAUCACAAUAAGCCUUCAAUGUUAGGGAACUGUUGGAAGAGAACAACAACCCGAGUCCUGGACUUCCUUUUAGAUACCUCACAAUGCGAAGAGCAGCAUCCCAAUGAGGCUUUCUCGGAGCAUGUAUAAAUUAACUUAGAAUAUUCACAGAGUAUGUAAUAUCUGGCCUAGUUAUUGUAAGGUAGAUUAACAGUCCUAUCAAUCUUCUGUAACGAGAUGGAUUAAGCAAGAGUUCACCUUGAUCAUUUGUAAGCUUCAAGUUUUGUUCCAUAGGAAAAUCAACCGGUUGCACUCCAAGAAAGCCAACAUCAUCUAGAAUCUCCAAAGCAUAUUUUCGUUGUGAUAUAACAAUACUAGCUUUUGAUCUUGCCACUUCCAAGCCAAGAAAAUACUUCAGAUAACCAAGAUCUUUAAUAUGGAAUUGUUGAUGAAGGAAAACUUUGAGAUCUUGAAUAGCUUUUUCAUCAUUUCCCGUGAUGAUCAUAUCAUCCACGUAUAUGAGAACCACAGUUAGGGAGGCAUUAUUUUUUUGAACAAAUAAAGAGUGAUCAGAAUGAGAUUGAGUAAAACCAACCUUCCUCAUUGCUUCUGAAAACUUUGAAAACCAAUUUCUAGGAGCUUGUUUAAGUCCGUAGAGAGAUUUGUACAGUCGACAUACCAUUUUCUCCGCCUGUCGACGGAGUCCUGGUGGCGGGGUCAUAUAUACCUCUUCAUCCAAGUCACCAUGAAGAAAGGCGUUAUGAACAUCCAUCUGAAAUAAAGGCCAAUUACAAAUAGCAGGUAAAGCAAGAAGACAUCGAACUGUAGUCAACUUAGCUACAGGGGCAAAAGUCUCAUGAUAAUCCAAACCCUCUAUUUGAUUAAAGCCCUUGGCUACUAGGCGGGCUUUAUAACGUUCCACUGUUCCAUUUGAAUUAUACUUGAUGUGAAAAAUCCAUUUGCCACCGAUUGGCCGAUGUCCAGGUGGAACGAAAACAAAAGACCAAGUAUGUUGGUUGUCUAGAGCUAUGAGCUCAUGUUUCAUGGCCUCACGCCAUUUUGGAUCUUGAACUGCUUGCUCAUAUGUGGUAGGUUCAAGAGUACUGGAAAUGGUAUUAAUAAAAGAUUUAUGGGAAGAAGAUAAUGAGUCAUAGGAAAUAAAGUUUGUUAAGGGAUAAUGAGUACCUGGCCGUGAAGAGGAUGACAUGCCUUGAGUUGUUGUAGAAGAUGAUGUACUAGCCUGACCACAAUGAAAAUCACGAAGAAGUACAGAUGGUUGUCUUAGGCGAUCACUGCGACGAAGAAUAGGGGUAGUAGGAGAGGAAUUUGAUGGAGGUGAAGAGAUAGGGAGACUUGGUGAAUGGUGGCGAGGAAUUAUAUAGCAAAUCAGGUGAUGGAGAAGAAGAUGACAGGUCAGAAGAUGAAGGAACAAGAGUUGAUAAAGGUAAAGGAAGGGAAUAAUCUAUAUCAGUUGUGCAAGGAGGUAUGGAAGAUAAUGGAAGAUUUUCAGUUUGUGUUUCAGCAGUGGAAGUAGAAAAAGGGAAUAUGUUUUCAUGGAAUAUUACGUCAUGACUGGGAAAAAAAUUGGCUAGUAGUAAGAUCAUAGACACGAUAGGCUUUUUGUCCUGAAGGAUAACCAACAAAGAAACAUUGACGAGCACGAGGAGAAAAUUUUGUUAGUGGUUGAAGAUUAGUAGCAUAACAGAGGCAUCCAAAGACUCGCAUAUGUGUGUAACUGGGAGGUUUGUUAUAUAAAAGUUCAUAUGGAGUUUUAUGAUGUAAUAAUGGUGUAGGAAGACGAUUAAUAAUGUAGGUGGCAGUAAGUAGACUUUCUCCCCAAAAACGUAAAGGAAGAUUUGCUUGAAAUCUUAAAGCUCGACCAACAUUCAGUAAAUGACGACGUUUGCGUUCCACGACACCAUUUUGUUGUGGUGUAGAGGUACAAGAACUUCGAAACAAAAUGCUAAGAUUAGAAAAGAAAGGUUUCAUUGAGGUAAAUUCUAAGCCAUUGCCGCUUCAUAUACAUUUAAUUUGACAAUUGAAUUGAGUGUUGACAUAUGUAAUGAAUGAUUUCAGCAAACUUUAGGUUUCUGAUUUGAAUUUCAUAAAAAAUAUCCAUGUGAAUCGAGUAUGAUCAUCAACAAUUGUUAAAAAAUAAUGUGCACCCGUAUGAGUUUCAACACGAUGAUGUCCCCAAAUAUCACAAUGUAUAAGAUCAAAAGAGUGCUUAGAUUGAAUGGAACUCAAAGGAAAUGACAAUCUUGUUUGUUUUGCCAAAUGACAAACGUCACAUAAAUGUUAAGAAUCAAAAACAAAAGAAGGAAUCAGUUUGCACAAAAAUUGAGAUGGCGCUUUAGAAGGAUGUCCCAGUCGUUUAUGACAAGUGAUGGCUGAUGGAGUGGAGACCUGAUAAGUUACUGGUAUAGAUGAUGACAACUUUGAAUGUGGCACAAGAUAGUACAAUCCCUUAUCCUAUUUCCCCAGGCCAAUCAUCCUCUUCGAAGCUAGGUCCUGCAAAAUACAAAAAUUAGGAAAAAAUUGGAUGGUACAAUUUAGAGCAGAUGUGAGUUGGCUAACAAAAAGAAGAUUGACAUGAAAGGAAGGGACACAAAGAACAUCUUUAACAUGUAAAUUAUCGGAAAGAUGAGCGGUGCCAACUCCAGUGAUUGUUGACUGAGAACCAUUUGGUAAGGAAACUUGUGAAGUCAUAGGAGUAUCACUAGUCAUUGAGGAAGUUAUAUGAUGUGUAGCACCACUAUCAAUAAUCCAGUUAUCAGAUUUGAAAUAACGUAAAGUGGAUGAAGAACAAAAAGGCGUUGGAAUACCUGUAUAAUUAGCACAAGGAGAAUUUUUACCAUUUCGGAGGAAUGCCUUGAUUUGAGAAAGCUCCUCAGAGGUGAAUUGGAUUGACUGAUCAGGUACUUUAUUUGUAAUAUGAGCUGGCUCGCUGCUUGUUUGAUUAGCAGCAACUUUAUGUUUUCGAUUUGGGGGUUGAACAUCUUUUCCAUGAAGCUUGUGACCAACAGGAAAUCCAAUCAAGUAGUAGCACCUUUCAACCGUAUGAGUGGUUCCAUCACAGUAAGUGCAGAACUGUGGCUUUCUAGGCCCUUGAGGUUUUGAGGGAGAGGGUGUCCACUUGGCCUGGCGUUGGUGAUCAUAGCUUUGUUGUUUGAAAUUGGGCUGAGGUUUGACAUUCAUAGCAUGGACUUGAUCUGCCCCCUUAUAUUCAACUAGUCCUCUUUGCUUUUCUUCUUCACAUAGAAGAGAAUAAGCUUUCUUUAUAGUAGGUAAGGGUUGCAUCAGCAUAAUUUAAUCUCUUACAGCUGAGUAGGACUCAUUUAAUCCCAUAAGAAAUUGUCAUAGCCUAAUUUUUUCUUAUUUUUCGUUCAAAUAAUUAUAUCCUCCACAAGUACAAAUAGCAGAUGGACUGCAAUUCUUCAAUUCAUCCCACAAUGUCUUCAUCUUAGUAUAAUAAGUGAAAAUGGAUUCUUGAUUUUGUUUCAAUUCAACAAUGGACCGUUGAAGUUGACAGUAAUGAGAAAAAUCACCUUGUGAGAAACGUUCUUGUAGAUCUGUCCAGAUUUCGAAAGGUGUCUCGAGAUAGAGCACACUGUUGGCAAGAUCUUGACUUAAUGAAUUGAAGAUCCAAGAAAGAACCAUAUCAUUACAGCGUUGCCAUGCUAGAUGUUUGGGAUCAUUCUCACUUGGUGUAGGUAUGGUUCCUUUGAUGAAUCCCAGUUUAUUUUUUGCACUAAGGCUCACCAACAUUGAUCUUCUCCACAUAGCAUAAUUGGUUCCAUCCAGGACUUUUGGAACCAGAAUCAUUCCUGGAUGAUCAGAAGCAUGAAUGAAAAGGGGAUCAGAUGGAUCUAUGCUAAGGGUGGACAUUGUGCGGACGACACUGUUGGAAUCAGUUUCUUGUACACUGCCAGAACGAGAAUUUUCUUCUAUAGACAUAAUGCGGAAGUUUUAGGAUCAAUGCUCUGAUACCAUGAAAAAGUGUGAAUAUAUUUUAUUUAUUGAAAAAGGCAGAAUAAAUUCUCUGUACUUCUUGUAUAGUGCAG
rnacentral:lncRNA from 1 species